UACGGAGGGUGCGAGCGUUGUUCGGAAUUAUUGGGCGUAAAGGGCGCGUAGGCGGUUUUGUAAGUCUGAUGUGAAAGCCCUGGGCUCAACCCGGGAAGUGCAUUGGAAACUGGGAGACUUGAGUACGGGAGAGGGCAGUGGAAUUUCUGGUGUAGGAGUGAAAUGCGUAGAUAUCAGGAGGAACACCGGUGGCGAAGGCGGCUGCCUGGACCGAUAUUGACGCUGAGGCGCGAAAGCGUGGGGAGCAAACAGG
rnacentral:rRNA from 1 species